rnacentral:rRNA from 1 species
AGUGAACGCUGGCAGUAGGCCUAACACAUGCAAGUCGAACGGCAGCACAGUAAGAGCUUGCUCUUACGGGUGGCGAGUGGCGGACGGGUGAGGAAUACAUCGGAAUCUACUUUUUCGUGGGGGAUAACGUAGGGAAACUUACGCUAAUACCGCAUACGACCUACGGGUGAAAGCAGGGGAUCUUCGGACCUUGCGCGAUUGAAUGAGCCGAUGUCGGAUUAGCUAGUUGGCGGGGUAAAGGCCCACCAAGGCGACGAUCCGUAGCUGGUCUGAGAGGAUGAUCAGCCACACUGGAACUGAGACACGGGCCAGACUCCUACGGGAGGCAGCAGUGGGGAAUAUUGGACAAUGGGCGCAAGCCUGAUCAAGCCAUACCGCGUGGGUGAAGAAGGCCUUCGGGUUGUAAAGCCCUUUUGUUGGGAAAGAAAAGCAGCAGGUUAAUACCCCGCUGUUCUGACGGUACCCAAAGAAUAAGCACCGGCUAACUUCGU